AUUGAACGCUGGCGGCGUGCCUAAUACAUGCAAGUCGAGCGGACCGGCGGACGGGUGAGUAAUGCCUAGGAAUCUGCCUGGUUGUCGGGGAUAACGUCCGGGAACGGGCGCUAAUACCGCAUACUAUCAGAUCAGUCUAGGUCGGAUUAGCUAGUGGGUGGGGUAAAGGCCUACCAGGUCGAGGAACCGUAACUGGGCUGAGAGGAUGAUCAGUCACACUGGAACGGGGACACGGUCCAGACUCCUAGGGGAGGCAGAAGUGGGGAAUAUUGGACAAUGGGCGAAAGCCUGAUGAAGAAAGGCCGCGUGUGUGAAGAAGGUCUUCGGAUUGUAAAGCACUUUAAGUUGGGAGGCGGUACCAACAGAAUAAGCAACGGCUAACUUCGUGCCAGCAGCCGCGGUAAUUC
rnacentral:rRNA from 1 species